ACACAUUACAACAUUAUCCCUUUCAACGACACAACGUGCUCGAAUCACAAGUUUGGUCUGGUCGAAAGGUUUUCAAAAUAAGCGGUCAUCUCACAAGGAAGUUGCGUGUAAAUAAUAAUUACGUACCAAUGUUUAAAUAAAAAAAUGAACGUUCAAGCAGAAUUACUUCUACGCAUCCAAGCAUACGUCAUUAGCUAUUACACCUGAACGCGCGUACAAAUAUGUCGUCUGUCCACCUGAGGGUUGAGAUCUUAAGAGGGACCCUCCUACGCGACUACAUUUCAGCUGCUUGAAGAAGUAUUUUUAAUGAACAAUAAUUAAGAUCGAUCAGUACCACAUAACCCAAAUUUAUAUGUUUAAUAUUAAAUUAAUUAUUUAGCCACAUGUAAAUAUUAUGAUUUCAUUUGUUUUGAAAUACAAUGCCCAAUAUUGACAAUAUACCUACAUAUCCAGCAA